rnacentral:sRNA from 1 species
UUGGGAGGCAUUUUAAAUUCUAUAUAGGAACUUAGUACAACAGAGACUCUGUGGAAUCUACGGGAGUCUCCCUAACAAAGACGCCUAGCAAUCAGUAGGAAGGGGACCCUAGUUAACCUUCUUCCAUAAUUAGGCAAGGGUCAGGCAGAAGGAUUGCGACAGCAAGCCAGCCACAAGACCUUCGAUCUAUGGUUUGUCUUGCCUACAAUGUGUUCUGGGACCAGAGACUAGCAAAAUUGUAACCGUAAAAGCAGACAGAUUUCAUCCAGCAACUGACAAGAGCAAAUGCAGAACUCCACAGUCCUAUAUUAGGUGGACCUCGAGGAGUCUUUCCUAGUAGGGAGAGAAAGAUGGAUUAGUGAAACCAGAGGGGACAGGGACAUCACAUGAACAUGUUAGAGAUGAUCAAAACCCAUGAAACUCGAUUUGCAGACAUCUAUGAGAAUGCAGAAAUGGAUGCUGGGAAUCAACUUGGAACGUCUGUGAGCAUGGUGUGUGCUGCUCAUUACUGAGCUUUGUCUUCUGCUUCGUGCUGACAUUUUAAUAGUCUACCUUGGAAAAUGCUUGACGUGAUGGACUCACAUAUCUUCAGUACAUCUUUUUAUCUCCCAUUUUGCAACUUCCAGUCCACAGUGCUUUGAUGGGCAUCCUGAUCAUUUUCCUGGCAGAUGUAAAAUGCUGUUUCAGCCUUAUGUUGUAUCUGCAUUAGUUGAAAUAAACUUUGCAACUAGAGAUCUCACAUAAUGACUCCAAAACCAGAAAAACACAAACACUUUUUGUUUUUGUUUCUGUUUCAGUUUUAGAGUUGAUGGUGAAUACCUUGUCAAUUGUUCUUGCAACAUUGCAGAGAUCAUCAUGAAUUUAUAUAUUUCAGCCAGCCUCUUGUGAAACCAUUGAAAUAGAGUGCUCAGAAAUGAUGAGGCAAGCCGUUCCAAUGUCCACAAUCAUUCUGUCAAUUGGAUUC